AGUGAACGCUGGCGGUAGGCCUAACACAUGCAAGUCGAACGGCAGCACAGUAAGAGCUUGCUCUUACGGGUGGCGAGUGGCGGACGGGUGAGGAAUACAUCGGAAUCUACUUUUUCGUGGGGGAUAACGUAGGGAAACUUACGCUAAUACCGCAUACGACCUACGGGUGAAAGCAGGGGAUCUUCGGACCUUGCGCGAUUGAAUGAGCCGAUGUCGGAUUAGCUAGUUGGCGGGGUAAAGGCCCACCAAGGCGACGAUCCGUAGCUGGUCUGAGAGGAUGAUCAGCCACACUGGAACUGAGACACGGUCCAGACUCCUACGGGAGGCAGCAGUGGGGAAUAUUGGACAAUGGGCGCAAGCCUGAUCCAGCCAUACCGCGUGGGUGAAGAAGGCCUUCGGGUUGUAAAGCCCUUUUGUUGGGAAAGAAAAGCAGCAGGUUAAUACCCCGCUGUUCUGACGGGACCCAAAGAAUAAACACCGGCUAACUGCGU
rnacentral:rRNA from 1 species